GAACGCUGGCGGCAUGCCUUACACAUGCAAGUCGAACGGUAACAGGUCUUCGGAUGCUGACGAGUGGCGAACGGGUGAGUAAUACAUCGGAACGUGCCCAGUAAUGGGGGAUAGCUCGGCGAAAGCCGGAUUAAUACCGCAUACGCCCUGAGGGGGAAAGUGGGGGAUCGCAAGACCUCACGUUAUUGGAGCGGCCGAUGGCUGAUUAGCUAGUUGGUAGGGUAAAGGCCUACCAAGGCGACGAUCAGUAGCUGGUCUGAGAGGACGAUCAGCCACACUGGGACUGAGACACGGCCCAGACCCCUACGGGAGGCAGCAGUGGGGAAUUUUGGACAAUGGGGGAAACCCUGAUCCAACAAUGCCGCGUGUGCGAAGAAGGCCUUCGGGUUGUAAAGCACUUUUGCCAGGGAAGAAAUCCUUUGGGCUAAUACCCUAGGGGGAUGACGGUACCUGAAGAAUAAGCACCGGCUAACUACGUGCCAGCAGCCGCGGUAAUACGUAGGGUGCAAGCGUUAAUCGGAAUUACUGGGCGUAAAGCGUGCGCAGGCGGUUGUGUAAGACAGGUGUGAAAUCCCCGGGCUUAACCUGGGAAUUGCGUUUGUGACUGCACGACUAGAGUGUGUCAGAGGGGGGUGGAAUUCCACGUGUAGCAGUGAAAUGCGUAGAUAUGUGGAGGAACACCAAUGGCGAAGGCAGCCCCCUGGGAUAACACUGACGCUCAUGCACGAAAGCGUGGGGAGCAAACAGGAUUAGAUACCCUGGUAGUCCACGCCCUAAACGAUGUCAACUAGUUGUUGGGGAUUUACUUCCUUGGUAACGUAGCUAACGCGUGAAGUUGACCGCCUGGGGAGUACGGCCGCAAGGUUAAAACUCAAAGGAAUUGACGGGGACCCGCACAAGCGGUGGAUGAUGUGGAUUAAUUCGAUGCAACGCGAAAAACCUUACCUACCCUUGACAUGGCAGGAACUUUCCAGAGAUGGAUUGGUGCUCGAAAGAGAACCUGCACACAGGUGCUGCAUGGCUGUCGUCAGCUCGUGUCGUGAGAUGUUGGGUUAAGUCCCGCAACGAGCGCAACCCUUGUCAUUAGUUGCUACGAAAGGGCACUCUAAUGAGACUGCCGGUGACAAACCGGAGGAAGGUGGGGAUGACGUCAAGUCCUCAUGGCCCUUAUGGGUAGGGCUUCACACGUCAUACAAUGGUCGGUACAGAGGGUUGCCAAGCCGCGAGGUGGAGCCAAUCCCAGAAAACCGAUCGUAGUCCGGAUCGCAGUCUGCAACUCGACUGCGUGAAGUCGGAAUCGCUAGUAAUCGCGGAUCAGAAUGCCGCGGUGAAUACGUUCCCGGGUCUUGUACACACCGCCCGUCACACCAUGGGAGUGGGUUCUACCAGAAGUGGCUAGUCUAACCGCAAGGAGGACGGUCACCACGGUAGGAUUCAUGACUGG
rnacentral:rRNA from 1 species